GGUCUCGUAGCUCAGUUGGAUAGAGCAUCNNUCUAAGCAGACGGUCGCACGUUCGAGUCGUGCCGAGAUCGCCA
rnacentral:tRNA from 1 species